AUUCUUUGUUCGGCAUUAUUCUCCCCGUUCUGUUUGGUAUCCCGCUCCUCUCUCGCUCUUACUCCAUAAUAUUCUCCGCCUCUCCGUUUCUUUAUUCACCUGUCAUUGAUUUGCUAAUGGGGUGAGUGAUUGUCGUUCCAACCAUUUCUCCUCACUCUAUGAGCCAUCUCCGCAAUCACCAUUGUUUGAACUGACUAGAAUCAUCUCUCCCUCGAUAUCUCUUUCAACGUUUACACAAAAUAAACAAUGCUCAACUUCCCGCCGGCGAUAGCUUUGUUCGUGUAGAUCCCAUCGCCACCGUGGAGGUCGCUCUAGAAGUCUGGAUCUGUUUCCUUUGACGCACACUCUUAGCAGUUCGUUUGAAUUUAGUGAUAUGGAGUUUGGCGGGUCCUUAUGAGUGGCUUAGUUAUAAAGAGGUGUAUGAUUCAACGCUUCAAAUCGGCUCAGCUAUUAGGAAAUGUGGAGUUAAUCCCGCUUCUCGAUCUUUCUCCUCUACUUUCGGCUUCGUAAGUAUGAAAGGAUUUUUCCAAAGAAGAAGCCACUAAUUUCGAAGG